UACGAGGGGGGACUAGCGUUGUUCGGAAUUACUGGGCGUAAAAGCGCACGUAGGCGGAUUUGUAAGUCAGGGGGUGAAAUCCCGGGGGCUCAACCUCGGAACUGCCUUUGAUACUGCAAAUCUCGAGUCCGAUAGAGGUGGGUGGAAUUCCUAGUGUAGAGGUGAAAAUUCGUAGAUAUUAGGAAGAACACCGGUGGCGAAGGCGGCCCACUGGAUCGGUACUGACGCUGAGGUGCGAAAGCGUGGGGGAGCAAACAGG
rnacentral:rRNA from 1 species